CUGCGAAUAUUCUCGCUGUUCUGAUGUUGUAAUAAUCAGGGCAGGCUAAACAUUCGCUAUAUUAAGACCAUGCAUGUGUCCCCGGACCUAGUUCUUUUCCUAGGUCUGGUUUUAUAAAUGCUGGUGAUAAAC
ensembl:snoRNA SNORA72 Small nucleolar RNA SNORA72